rnacentral:sRNA from 1 species
GUGCGUUAGGGAUUAAAGCGGCAUCCUUUUUUGUGUUAAUAAAUCCGUCAUUACGAGUGAAACGAAGUAAUCUCAUCAAUUUAAGAGAUUGCCACAGCAAAUAGUUAUUUGCUUCGCAAUGACUCACAAAAAAGAUACAGCGGAAAGCCCGACCCUUG